GCUCGGAUGGCGGAAUUGGCAGACGCGCAGGAUUCAGGAUCCUGUGGGGGUGACCCCGUGAGGGUUCGAGUCCCUCUCCGAGCA
rnacentral:tRNA from 1 species